rnacentral:rRNA from 1 species
AAUCAACGCUGGCGGCGCGCCUAACACAUGCAAGUCGAACGAGAAAGCUUCCUUCGGGAAGUGAGUACAGUGGCGAACGGGUGAGUAACACGUGGGUUACCUGCCCUCGAGUGGGGAAUAACCUUGGGAAACCGGGGCUAAUACCGCAUACGGUCUACGGACUAAAGCUUUAUGCGCUCGAGGAGGGGCCCGCGGUCGAUUAGCUAGUUGGUGAGGUAAUGGCUCACCAAGGCAUCGAUCGAUAGCCGGCCUGAGAGGGCACACGGCCACACUGGCACUGAGACACGGGCCAG